GAUGAACGCUGGCGGCGUGCCUAAUACAUGCAAGUCGAGCGAACGGACGAGAAGCUUGCUUCUCUGAUGUUAGCGGCGGACGGGUGAGUAACACGUGGAUAACCUACCUAUAAGACUGGGAUAACUUCGGGAAACCGGAGCUAACACCGGAUAAUAUUUUGAACCGCAUGGUUCAAAAGUGAAAGGCGGUCUUGCUGUCACUUAUAGAUGGAUCCGCGCUGCAUUAGCUAGUUGGUAAGGUAACGGCUUACCAAGGCAACGAUGCAUAGCCGACCUGAGAGGGUGAUCGGCCACACUGGAACUGAGACACGGUCCAGACUCCUACGGGAGGCAGCAGUAGGGAAUCUUCCGCAAUGGGCGAAAGCCUGACGGAGCAACGCCGCGUGAGUGAUGAAGGUCUUCGGAUCGUAAAACUCUGUUAUUAGGGAAGAACAUAUGUGUAAGUAACUGUGCACAUCUUGACGGUACCUAAUCAGAAAGCCACGGCUAACUACGUG
rnacentral:rRNA from 1 species